rnacentral:rRNA from 1 species
CGAGCCCAACCUCCCACCCGUGUUUACCGUAACCGCGUUGCCUCGGCGGGCCCACUGGGGCCUGGCCCCGGUCGCCGGGGGGCAUCUGCCCCCGGGCCCGCGCCCGCCGAAGCGCCCUGGAACCCUGUCUGAAUAGUGAGUCUGAGUGAGAUUUUAAAUCAUUAAAACUUUCAACAACGGAUCUCUUGGUUCCGGCAUCGAUGAAGAACGCAGCGAAAUGCGAUAAUUAAUGUGAAUUGCAGAAUUCCGUGAAUCAUCGAGUUUUUGAACGCACAUUGCGCCCCCUGGCAUUCCGGGGGGCAUGCCUGUCCGAGCGUCAUUUCUGCCCUCCAGCACGGCUGGGUGUUGGGCGCUGUCCCCCCGGGGACACGCCCCAAAGGCAGUGGCGGCGCCGCAUCGGGUCCUCGAGCGUAUGGGGCUUUGUCACCCGCUCGGGAGGGACUCGUCGGCGCUGGUCUUCCCCCAGGCGACCCUUCGGGGCUCGUCUUCUUCCGGUUGACCUCGGAUCAGGUAGGGUUACCCGCUGAACUUAAGCAUAUCAA